rnacentral:misc_RNA from 1 species
GAUGAAGAACGAAGUGAAAUGCGAUAAGUAGUGUGAAUUGCAGAAUUCAGUGAAUCAUCGAAUCUUUGAACGCACAUUGCGCCCUUUGGUAUUCCUUAGGGCAUGCCUGUUCGAGCGUCAUUUAAACCUUCAAGCUAAGCUUGGUGUUGGGUGACUGUCCGCUUCACGGCGGACUCGCCUCAAAAUUAUUGGCGGCCGGUACAUUGGCUUCGAGCGCAGCAGAAACGCGAACUCGGGCCCGUCGUAUUGGCUCCCAGAAGCUAUCUUCACAAUUUUGACCUCGGAUCAGGUAGGGAUACCCGCUGAACUUAAGCAUAUCAAUAAGCGGAGGA